UUCCCUACUGAUGCUCGGUGCCGCAAUAGUAAUUCAACUUAGUACGANGAGGAACCGUUGAUUCACAUAAUUGGUCAUUGCGUUUGGUUGAAAAGCCAGUGACGCGAAGCUACCAUGUGUAGGAUUAUGACUGAACGCCUCUAAGUCAGAAUCCAUGCUAGAAGCGGCGCUUUCUACCUCCCCGGUUGUUACCCGACUACCAAUAGGGGUGCUUCGUGCACCCCCAGAAGCAUGUGUCGAGAGCUCCCCCUCGUUGCCGGAACAUGGCGGCGUGGGCGCUUUGCAUUACAAUUCCAGACGAUCGGGGAGAUGAAUCCUUUGCAGACGACUUAAAUAUGGGACGAGGUAUUGUAAGUGGUAGAGUAGCCUUGCUGCUACGAUCCACUGAGAUUCCGCCUCACCGUCCCAACGAUUUGU
rnacentral:ncRNA from 1 species